AGUCAAGUAAUUAAGUGCAUGUGGUGGAUGCCUUGGCAGUCAGAGGCGAUGAAAGACGUGAUAGCCUGCGAAAAGCUCCGGGGAGGCGGCAAAUAUCCUUUGAUCCGGAGAUGUCUGAAUGGGGGAACCCACCUACUUUAAGGUAGGUAUUGCAACAUGAAUACAUAGUGUUGCAAGGCGAACGAGGGGAAGUGAAACAUCUCAGUACCCUUAGGAAAAGAAAUCAAUUGAGAUUCCCUCAGUAGCGGCGAGCGAACGGGGAUCAGCCCAUUAAGUUAUGUGUGUUUUAGUGGAACGCUCUGGGAAGUGCGAACGUAGAGGGUGAUAUUCCCGUACACGAAAGGGCACACAUAAUGAUGACGAGUAGGGCGAGGCACGUGAAACCUUGUCUGAAUAUGGGGGGACCAUCCUCCAAGGCUAAAUACUCCUGACUGACCGAUAGUGAACCAGUACCGUGAGGGAAAGGCGAAAAGAACCCCUGUGAGGGGAGUGAAAUAGAUCCUGAAACCGCAUGCAUACAAGCAGUGGGAGCACCUUCGUGGUGUGACUGCGUACCUUUUGUAUAAUGGGUCAGCGACUUAUAUUCAGUAGCAAGGUUAACCGUAUAGGGGAGCCGUAGAGAAAUCGAGUCUUAAUAGGGCGUUUAGUUGCUGGGUAUAGACCCGAAACCAGGCGAUCUAUCCAUGAGCAGGUUGAAGGUUGGGUAACACUAACUGGAGGACCGAACCCACUGUCGUUGAAAAGCCAGGGGAUGACUUGUGGAUAGGGGUGAAAGGCUAAUCAAGCCUGGUGAUAGCUGGUUCUCCCCGAAAGCUAUUUAGGUAGCGCCUCGGACGAAUACCAUAGGGGGUAGAGCACUGUUUCGGCUAGGGGGUCAUCCCGACUUACCAAACCGAUGCAAACUCCGAAUACCUAUGAGUACUAUCCGGGAGACAGACUGCGGGUGCUAACGUCCGUAGUCAAGAGGAAAACAAUCCAGACCGCCAGCUAAGGCCCCAAAAUCAUAGUUAAGUGGGAAACGAUGUGGGAAGGCAUAGACAGCUAGGAGGUUGGCUUAGAAGCAGCCACCCUUUAAAGAAAGCGUAAUAGCUCACUU
rnacentral:rRNA from 1 species